rnacentral:tRNA from 1 species
CCGGCGGUAGUUCAGUCUGGUAGAACGGCGGACUGUAGAUCCGCAUGUCGCUGGUUCAAAUCCGGCCCGCCGGACCA